GACGAACGCUGGCGGCGUGCUUAACACAUGCAAGUCGAACGGAAAGGCCCUGCUUGCAGGGUACUCGAGUGGCGAACGGGUGAGUAACACGUGGGUGAUCUGCCCUGCACUUCGGGAUAAGCCUGGGAAACUGGGUCUAAUACCGGAUAGGAGCCAUUUUUAGUGUGAUGGUUGGAAAGUUUUUUUCGGUGUAGGAUGAGCUCGCGGCCUAUCAGCUUGUUGGUGGGGUAAUGGCCUACCAAGGCGGCGACGGGUAGCCGGCCUGAGAGGGUGGACGGCCACAUGGGAGCUUAGGGGAGGGCCAGGCGCCUACGGUGGGGAGAGGGGGGGAAUUUGGCACAAGGGGCGCAAGCCGUGUGCGGGGGCCCCGGGGGGGGGAAAACUGCUUUAGGGUGGAAAACUCCUUUCGUUAGGGACGAAGCUUUUUGUGACGGUACCUAGAUAAGAAGCACCGGCUAACUACGU
rnacentral:rRNA from 1 species